GAUGAAGAACGCAGCGAAAUGCGAUAAGUAGUGUGAAUUGCAGAAUUCAGUGAAUCAUCGAAUCUUUGAACGCACAUUGCGCCCCUUGGUAUUCCAUGGGGCAUGCCUGUUCGAGCGUCAUUUGUACCUUCAAGCUCUGCUUGGUGUUGGGUGUUUGUCUCGCCUCUGCGUGUAGACUCGCCUCAAAACAAUUGGCAGCCGGCGUAUUGAUUUCGGAGCGCAGUACAUCUCGCGCUUUGCACUCAUAACGACGACGUCCAAAAGUACAUUUUUACACUCUUGACCUCGGAUCAGGUAAGGAUACCCGCUGAACUUAAGCAUAUCAAUAAGCGGAGGA
rnacentral:misc_RNA from 1 species